UACGUAGGGUGCAAGCGUUGUCCGGAAUUAUUGGGCGUAAAGAGCUCGUAGGCGGCUCGUCACGUCGGCUGUGAAAACCCGGGGCUCAACCCCGGGCCUGCAGUCGAUACGGGCGAGCUAGAGUUCGGCAGGGGAGACUGGAAUUCCUGGUGUAGCGGUGAAAUGCGCAGAUAUCAGGAGGAACACCGAUGGCGAAGGCAGGUCUCUGGGCCACUACUGACGCUGAGAAGCGAAAGCAUGGGGAGCGAACAGG
rnacentral:rRNA from 1 species